UGGGAAUCGAACCCAGGUCUCUGGAAGAGC
rnacentral:piRNA from 1 species